rnacentral:tRNA from 1 species
ACUUAAGUAAUUUAAUAAAAAUAUUGAUUUGUGGAAUCAAAAAUAUGAUUAGGGUUUCAUUUUAAGUU